rnacentral:lncRNA from 1 species
UAGUAUUAUCGAUCAUAGGGCGCCGUAGCUUAACUGGUAAAGCACCACCUUAACCGGUGGGAGAUUUUGGUUCGAAUCCCACCGGCGUCACCAUGGGUUGUGAGACUUGUUCACUGAUAGUAUAUCAGUAUAUCUGAGGCAUUCCUCAGGGCAACCCGUGGUGUAUGUGAUGACAAGUCCAUCACCAGAAGGCUAGGCGCCGAGGAGGAGGAGGAAAUGGCUGCACAAGGUCAAUGGAGCUGUCCAAGCAAAGUACCUACCAAGAGGCUACUGAAACAUGGCUAGGCCGAACCUCGCACGAGCCUUAGAUGGUGACCUCUAUGAGGGGUGCAGAAUCCCCCAGCGGGUGAAGCGGGUCGUAGGGGGCUAACUACCCUCCGCCAGGACAAAGCGCAGGGUGCUGUGUAGAGUGCAGUAGUGUAAGGGUAGGGAGGCGGUGCGACAUGCACGUGGCCUGAAGUUGUAACAGGAGCACCAGACUCCGGCAGGUUGCGAUAACUGGUCGUGUUCCACAGCGACAGUGUGGCGUCCUCACCAACGAUAGGUGGAACUCUAGGGUGGAAAAGGGCCCGUAGAGGUGACGCGGUGGGAAUAUAGCUUAUAGGACUGACUAGGUGCAGACCUCAGAGCGUUCCCCCCUUAACACACGCCAGGUUGAGCGGACACCGGUGUAACAAUAAUAAUAAUAAUAAUCAUAGAAUAGAUAUGAGGGGCCGUAAGAAGGUCAUGUCACGCCAAAACAUCUGGAGCGCACAAAUUACGUGCCACGACCGAGUUAGUCGCUAUCCGCAGGUGGCUAAGCCAACCGAAGGUAGUUAGGCGAACCGCGUAUUGAUUUAAUUGAGACUUUGGGUGUUGCCUGACUAGCGUAUAAGGCGCUUUCCGUUGUGAUUUGAGGAUGUUAGGUUGUCGUUCAUCUGUCGUUAGUCGGAUGAGCGUUACGCAUCCAGGGUAGGGCCGGGUGUGAUAAGGCCCGGCGUGGAUCAGUCGGUACUUCGCCAUAAAUGCGAGUGCGAAGAGGCCAAACAUUUGUCGUUUGGCUCUCGAAGCAACUCUUCGUGAGCGUAUAGACCAUNNNNNNNNNNNNNNNNNNNNNNNNNNNNNNNNNNNNNNNNNNNNNNNNNNAGGAGGCCAUGCCGUGGGCAGCUUAUCACGGCAUCCCCCCCGACGUCAGCCACCUCCACACCUUCAGCUGCCUGGCCUACGUCCGCAUCCACCCAGCCAGCAGGACAAACUCGGUCCUCGUGCAAAGGCGGAAACCCACCGCCGACCGGAGCAUGGCAUGGCCGCCCACAGCAUCCUCAUCGAGGGCAAGGUGACCGUGAGCAGCAACGUCACCUUCGAUGACAACCGCCACAGCCCGGUUCACAACGGGCGGGCACCCCCUUCAGCACUAGCCCCGCCUGCCCCGGUGGCAGCGACCCCAUCGGCGGCUCUACACCGCCCACCAAGCUGCCGACCCCAGUGGCCACCCCACCUCCGGUGACCCCAACACCACCCCUCCAUCCCAACACCCGCAGUCAACGGCAGUCCCUGCACACUCCCGCUGGUCCCGGUCAGUGACGGCCCGCCCCCCCCGACAGCAGCAGCAGCGGCGGCGGCGGAGAGUCGGGAAGUCCACCGGCGGUGGAGGCAACAGUGCAGAGCACACUGCCAACGACAUGCUGGUGAUGGCGGACAACCUGCAAGUGGUCGCGGCCACCAAGGCAGCCAUCGCCGGUUGCUUCACAGUGCGUGACCUUGGCGAGGCGCACUACCACCUCGGCAUGAAGAUCGUCCAGGAUGGUCGCAACCGCUGCAUCAUGCUCACGCAGCAGCGCUAUGUGGAGCAGCUGCUGCAGCGCCACAGCCUGGAGAAUGCCAAGCCGCGCGCCACCCUGCUGCCUCAGGGCAUGUGUGCUCUGCCAGCCAGCGACGCCCAGCCGACAGUGAUUGAUGGCAGCGGCUACCGUGUGCUGGUGGGCGAGCUGAAAUACCUCGCCACCAGCACGCGCCCGGACAUCAGUGUUUUUUUAAAGUAAUAUAUUCCUUUUAAGGAAUAAAGAGGCCAUUUUGGCCUUUGGAAAUAAGGAACAAAUUGAGGCCGAUCCGUACAUUUUCAUUCCUCGAGCCAAAAACGUCCAUUGCUGUCAGAUUGCUCCAUAGUGUGCAGAACUUAGUAUUAUCGAUCAUAGGGCGCCGUAGCUUAACUGGUAAAGCACCACCUUAACCGGUGGGAGAUUUUGGUUCGAAUCCCACCGGCGUCACCAUGGGUUGUGAGACUUGUUCACUGAUAGUAUAUCAGUAUAUCUGAGGCAUUCCUCAGGGCAACCCGUGGUGUAUGUGAUGACAAGUCCAUCACCAGAAGGCUAGGCGCCGAGGAGGAGGAGGAAAUGGCUGCACAAGGUCAAUGGAGCUGUCCAAGCAAAGUACCUACCAAGAGGCUACUGAAACAUGGCUAGGCCGAACCUCGCACGAGCCUUAGAUGGUGACCUCUAUGAGGGGUGCAGAAUCCCCCAGCGGGUGAAGCGGGUCGUAGGGGGCUAACUACCCUCCGCCAGGACAAAGCGCAGGGUGCUGUGUAGAGUGCAGUAGUGUAAGGGUAGGGAGGCGGUGCGACAUGCACGUGGCCUGAAGUUGUAACAGGAGCACCAGACUCCGGCAGGUUGCGAUAACUGGUCGUGUUCCACAGCGACAGUGUGGCGUCCUCACCAACGAUAGGUGGAACUCUAGGGUGGAAAAGGGCCCGUAGAGGUGACGCGGUGGGAAUAUAGCUUAUAGGACUGACUAGGUGCAGACCUCAGAGCGUUCCCCCCUUAACACACGCCAGGUUGAGCGGACACCGGUGUAACAAUAAUAAUAAUAA